AUGAGUAUGCUCAGGCCACAGAAGAGGCUUGUCUCUAGUGCUCUCUGCUGUGGGAAAAAGAAGGUCUUGCUGGAUCCCAAUGAGACCAAUGAAAUCGACAAUGUUAACUCCUGUCAGUAGAUCAAGAAGCUGAUCAAAGAUGGGUUGAUCCCCGGGAAGCCUGUGACUGUCCAUUCCCAGGCUCGAUGCUGGAAAAACAGCUUGGCCUGACAGAAGGGCAGGCAUAAGGGCAUAGGAAAGAGGAAGGGUACUGCCAACGCUCGGAUGCCUGAGAAGGUGACCUGGGUGAGAAGGGUGAGGAUCCUGCGCUGGCUUCUCAGGAGAUUCUGGGAAUCUAAGAAGACUGACCGCCAUAUGUAUCACAGCCUGUACUUGAAGGUCAAGGGGAAGGUAUUCAAAGCAAGCGGAUCCUCAUGGAGCACAUCCACAAACUGAAGGCAGACAAGGCCCGCAAGAAGCUCCUGGCUGACCAGGCUGAGGCUCGCAGGUCUAAGACCAAGGAAGCAUGAAAGCCCCGGGAGGAGCGCCUCCAGGCUAAGAAGGAAGAGCUCAUCUAGACUCUGUCCAAGGAGGAAGAAACCAAGAAAUAA
rnacentral:lncRNA from 1 species